rnacentral:rRNA from 1 species
AACGAACGCUGGCGGCAUGCCUAACACAUGCAAGUCGAACGAGACCUUCGGGUCUAGUGGCGCACGGGUGCGUAACGCGUGGGAAUCUGCCCUUGGGUUCGGGAAUAACAGUUAGAAAUGACUGCUAAUACCGGAUGAUGUCUUCGGACCAAAGAUUUAUCGCCCAACGGAUGAGCCCGCCGUAAGAUUAGCUAGUUGGUGAGGUAAUGGCUCACCAAGGCGACGAUCUUUAGCUGGUCUGAGAGGAUGAUCAGCCACACUGGGACUGAGACACGGCCCAGACUCCUACGGGAGGGCAGCAGUGGGGAAGUAA